AACGCACAUUGCGCUUCCUGGCAUUCCGGGGAGCAUGCCUGUUUCAGCACCAUUUUAUCUCGAUAUCUCAGGGUUUGUGUGGCCUCACGGCCGGCUAGGCUCUGUGGAAUCGGACAUGGGAAAAGCACCUUCUCUCGCGAACGGUGCUUCCCGAAUGUGAUGCCGGCUCGGACCUUUGAGACUCCGGGCGAAUCCGUGCGCGGAUUGGCCGGGAGGGUUUACCAGAGACAUGCAACGUGGAGGAAACAAUGAAGUGGCCCCGCGGGUCAUCAAUUGUCCCAUACGCGUGCGGUUUCAGGUGGAUCCAGUGCUCGAAGACUCUGAAGCCCACACAUCUCCAAACGGAGUCGAACGUUUGUCGUCGACCCCGAUCAAUUGGUCUGAAAUCAGGUAGGAAAACCCGCUGAACUUAA
rnacentral:misc_RNA from 1 species